rnacentral:lncRNA from 1 species
AUAUAUUAUGAUUUCUAUCACAAUAUCAUCAAAACUUCAUUCAAUUGGUUGGAACCAUCCCAACUCUAACCAUCAAGGAUCAUCGAUCAUCAAGAUGAUACUCUGUGGGUCUCAUAAUCCAUCAGUGAUAUUUAACAGUAUAUAGUGGCAAUCCAGUAGAAUAAAAGUUGAUGAACCUCUAGGUAUGACACUUUGUGGGUCUCAUAAUCUAUCAGUGAUAUUUAGCAGUAUAUAGUGGCAAUCCAAUAGAAUAAAAAUUGAUGAACCUCUAGGUAUAGUUAUAAUGUGAUUUAGUCUCUCUAUCAUAAGUCUUGACCAGAUGGC